GACGAACGCUGGCGGCGUGCUUAACACAUGCAAGUCGAACGCUGAAGCUCAGCUUUUGUUGGGUGGAUGAGUGGCGAACGGGUGAGUAACACGUGAGUAACCUGCCCCCUUCUUUGGGAUAACGCCCGGAAACGGGUGCUAAUACUGGAUAUUCACUGGUCUUCGCAUGGGGGUUGGUGGAAAGGGUUUUUCUGGUGGGAGAUGGGCUCGCGGCCUAUCAGCUUGUUGGUGGGGUGAUGGCCUACCAAGGCUUUGACGGGUAGCCGGCCUGAGAGGGUGACCGGUCACAUUGGGACGGAGAUACGGCCCAGACUCCUACGGGAGGCAGCAGUGGGGAAUAUUGCACAAUGGGCGCAAGCCUGAUGCAGCGACGCCGCGUGAGGGAUGGAGGCCUUCGGGUUGUGAACCUCUUUCGCUCAUGGUCAAGCCGCAACAAUGGUUGUGGUGAGGGUAGUGGGUAAAGAAGCGCCGGCUAACUACGUG
rnacentral:rRNA from 1 species